GAUGAACGCUGGCGGCGUGCCUAAUACAUGCAAGUCGAGCGAACAGACGAGGAGCUUGCUCCUCUGACGUUAGCGGCGGACGGGUGAGUAACACGUGGAUAACCUACCUAUAAGACUGGGAUAAAUUCGGGAAACCGGAGCUAAUACCGGAUAAUAUAUUGAACCGCAUGGUUCAAUAGUGAAAGACGGUUUUGCUGUCACUUAUAGAUGGAUCCGCGCCGCAUUAGCUAUUUGGUAAGGUAACGGCUUACCAAGGCAACGAUGCGUAGCCGACCUGAGAGGGUGAUCGGCCACACUGGAACUGAGACACGGUCCAGACUCCUACGGGAGGCAGCAGUAGGGAAUCUUCCGCAAUGGGCGAAAGCCUGACGGAGCAACGCCGCGUGAGUGAUGAAGGUCUUCGGAUCGUAAAACUCUGUUAUUAGGGAAGAACAAAUGUGUAAGUAACUAUGCACGUCUUGACGGUACCUAAUCAGAAAGCCACGGCUAACUACGUG
rnacentral:rRNA from 1 species